CCUACGGGAGGCAGCAGUGGGGAAUAUUGCACAAUGGAGGAAACCCUGAUGCAGCGACGCCGCGUGCGUGAAGAAGUCUUUCUGGAUGUAAAGCUCUAUCAGCAGGGGAGAAGAAGGACGUUACCUGACUCCGCAGCCCCGGCUAACUACGUGCCAGCAGCCGCGGUAAGACGUAGGGGGCAAGCGUUAUCCGGAUUUACUGGGUGUACAGGGGGCGUAGACGGCUGUGCAAGUCUGAAGUGAAAGCCCAGGGCUCAACCCUGGGACUGCGUUGGAAACUGUGGAACUAGAGUGCUGGAGAGGUAAGUGGAAUUCCUAGUGUAGCGGUGAAAUGCGUAGAUAUCAGGAGGAACACCAGUGGCGAAGGCGGCUUACUGGACAGUAACUGACGUUGAGGCUCGAAAGCGUGGGGAGCAAACAGGAUUAGAUACCCGAGUAGUC
rnacentral:rRNA from 1 species